ACAUAUGAGCUGCGUCGGAUAGAAAUCGACCUUAUGCAAACGAAAAUUGAUACCUCUGUUAACCUAUUUUGGGUUGAAAUAGUUUUUACGGAAAGUCUGUAAUUGUUCCAAAGGUAGAUUUGCAGAAGAAGACAACCCUUUAAAACGGACCAAAAUGCAGCUUUUAUAUCUAAAAUUAUUCCAGAAUCGAUCAAAGUCUUAAACAUGAACCUGUGUACGUGC
rnacentral:lncRNA from 1 species